UAUGAGAAUGAGACCGGUAUAGUCGCGAACGAUGCAAAACAAAGCUCCGUUGCAGGCGAUGGACGCGCGUGGCAGAAGAACAAAUUAAGUUUUCCACCUGCCACUCCCACACUGGCCCACAACCCGUUGCGUGUGCAAAAGGGGCGUGUGAGUGCACUAGUGUGUGUGCCUGUGUGUGCAAAGGGAAAUGGAAAAUUUAAUAUCCCGCUCGGGUGCUCAAAAGAAAGAAUAUAUGCAAAAUAUAAUACAAAAAGUGAAAGAAGUGCCUUUAUAAUUUAACGAUUUUCGCGUCAGUAUAUUGCAGGCAGCAAUGCAAAUGAUAAUGAUUCCAGAAUACAUAAUUCCAUUUCAAAAUACAUAAUAUAUAACCAACAGUUUGUAGAAAAAAAUCUCUAAGAGAUGAUAAAAGUUAUAUUUAAUGUUGCUUAAAUGAACUUUAAAUCAAGAAAAACUACGUACCUUGGAAAAUAGAAAGACAUAAGUGUUGCCUAUAGUCAAAAUAUCAAGUAUCAAGAUAACUUUAGAGGAUACAAUACAUUUAAUAUUGAAAAACAAUAAAGAACCCACAUAAAUCUUCCUUGUUCCAUAUAAAAUGCGCCAAAAAGUGCAGCAUCAGCUGAGCAGAAAGUUCACCUUCACCCAAUGAACACGGCCAUACGACAUCGUACCGCUAACACACAUACUACGAGUAGUUAUAAGAAGAACAAAACAUGAAAAAUCGAUACUAAAAUCUGCAACAGCAGCAGCAGCCGCAACGCGGUCCCCGGCCGCGCCCACUUAUCCGAGAACUACUCGUGAAUCCCCAUCGAAGCUACAUACAAAUCUAAAGGAAGAAAUCCAAUAGGCCAAAAGCAUCAAAGUGUUCGGAAACCAGGCCAUACCCAGCAGGGACACUACCGUCGAGGCGGGAAGCCGCAGAAUGGUGGAUGCCAAACCGCCGCCCGCCCCCACACCGGGAGCGGUGCCGGGAACAACUCCGCCUCUGGCCGCCUUUGCCGGUGAGCGAUCCAAAAUCAAAUUGUUCAUGGAGCGAACGCCCAGCAUUGGGGCCCUCAAGUCAAAGUUUCUCACUGUGCUGGGCAACAGCAAUGAGCUGCUCAACGGAAUAUCAAAUAAGUUGACUUUGAGCUACAGCAGCAGCGAUUCGGAUUACUGUGAUGACGAUGAGGACAUCCCCAAGUUUGAUGAGACGAUUGACUACACAAAAAUCGAUUUUGAGGGACGCCGGGUGAAGGCUCGCCGUGCCCAUGAGGAGAUCAUCUCGGGUCGCUACAGACAACCCAAUCUGGCGCCACUCCAACACUUAGGUCCCCGCCCGGAGCCCACUCGGGGCCGUCAUGGGGCCCAGAAACGAGGGGCAGCUGCUGGGCAGCAGCGUUCCAACUCGGCUUCGUCCAGCAGCUCUGGGGGCAGCAGCAGCGACGAGAGCAGCUCCAUAUCGCUGCCCGAGAAUGCGGCAGCGGCAGCGGCGGGGGCGGGGGCGGCAGCAGCACCACGCUCCCACGAUGUGAGUAGCACGACGCGCUCGGAUUCCAUUGAGAGCCGCAACUCGGGAGGCUAUGAGCGGCCCAGGGCCAUUGCCGGAGCCCGGCGCAGUGAGAUGGACGUGCAGAAGGACAUGCAACGCAUUAUAGAACUGCUGGAGGCCAAUCCGCCCCACAUCGAUGUGCAGCCGCCCACAGAAGGGGGAGGAGACGGCGGCGGCGGGGGAGGUGGCGCUGGCUCGGUCAACCGUCAGCCCUGGGGAGCCGGCAGCAACUCGAUGCGAGUGCCACCGCGCAGUCGCACUUCCAAUAGCAGCACCCUGACCAGCCUGCGGGAUGAGGUGGACCAGGUGCUGGCCAGCCCCAGCGUUGAGUCCACCGACUGGCGGCACUUUAUCCGCUCCGAGUCGCAGAAUUCGGUGCCCUCGUGGGCCUCCUCCAUCAGUCUGGACUGCCGCGCCGGGGAGGAGCCCGUCAAGGAGUUCAUGAGGCUCUUCACCGAGCUGCUGUUCUACAAUACUGCGUGCGUCAACCUGGAGCUGAAGUCGGAGUUCGGGGUCCUGCUCCGCCUGGAGAUCGGUCGCCUCUGGUUCACGCGCUUCCUCACUGAGCAGCGCAACAAAACGAAGCGUCUCGAAUCGGUCACCUUCCACGGACUGCCUCAGUACUUUGCCUUGGCCCUGUUCGAGUGUGGGGAAUGCGAGGACUUUGGCCCGGCAUCGGUGCUCAUGAAUCUCUGUUUUCUCUUCUACCACGAAGUUGAAGUUCCUGGCUGCGAUCCCUAUCGCGAGUACCUGUUUCUCUCCCUACGGCAGCAGCCCAUCUGGCAUCAGCUGCACUUCUGGGACACUGUCCUCUGGGACGCCAUGCAUGCGGAUCGGGAGCAUCGCCUCGCCAACGUACAGCGGCGCCAGCAGAGACGUCAGCAUAAGAAGCAGCAACGCCUCUCCAUCCCAGGAACAGAGGCACCUCUAACGCCAGCUCCAACGGGGACCACAGCACCGGAAACUGCAGAUAAACCCGUGCGCAAGCAUGGACCCGAUUCCUCAUCCAGCUCCUCGCAUCAGGGCGCAAACUCGGGGUAUCCUCCGGCGACCCGAAGGCAAAGCAAAAUGAGUCCCGGACAGCCGCCGGUGCUGGGUAAAGAACACGAGGACACUGUAUUCCGGCAUCUGGGGGCCCUGACCUGCAACAUGCAUUCGCUGGGCACACCCAAGGAAUUGUGCAUCGACUUUCUCAAACGACAUGCUCAGGGCCACGAACUAUCCAAGGAUAAAGCAAAGCUCAUUCGAGACAAUGUCCAUCGCAUGUACCAUGAGACGGAACUCUGGGGCGCACGAUAAGCCAAGCAUAAGAAUGGAAUGGCCAGGACCAUGAGGCAGCCUUUGAGCGCUCAGAACGAAGGACACAUCGAAGAGGAAGAGGGCCAGCUCUGGUGACGGCAUCGUGGAGUACCCCCUCAAGAUAUAUGUACUUGUAUGUGUGUCACACUGGAUUCCAAACUGGCGCAGUCCUGGUACUCAUCCAUUGCCUCCUUCAAUGCCAUGCCUUCUAGGCGUACAGACUAUCCGAUAUCACUAUUGGAGAGCCGAUCUCCAGUGGCCACUGUACAUCGAGGAGGCACAGCGACAAAAUGGACAAGUCGCCGCUCCUUCCCUUCUCAGCCAUUCAGCCGUAGGGUGUUUACACGCGGUAUGUGCCCACGCCGCAUCUACCCAAUGAUGUGGACGUGGACUGUCAUCAGCAGCAGUAUCAGAACCUCAAUCUCAACGAGGAACUCUUGAGGUCAGGCCUCACCGACGAAAUCCUGCAGCCCACCGAGGAGAAGCAACCACAACAUGAUUUCGGAUUUCGCCUUUCCACAGAAGUUUCCCAUAAUCUACAUUAAUGACAACCACUGGGACAUCAAUUAGCCGGCGGCCUGAUUCGAUCUGUGCAUUGAUAGGAGGAGACCACUCUCUGCUGCUGACCAAGGGGUACUACAAUAAACGAGAGCCUGCAGAACUACCAGUGGCUACCAAUGGCUUCCGUCUCUGCGUACAAUACAGUUACGGACAUCUGGAUGCUCCUGCCCCUGGGAUGCUGAUGACUGUACCGAUGAGGUGCCGAGGCUGCUGUUCAUAUUGCUGGCCGAGGAACGCUCGUAGGGCGAGCAGUGAUUUCAUUGAAAUUAAGUAUUACACAUAGCGAUAUUAUGUUAUUAUGUUUAAGGAUAUACAUUGUACGUUGUUAUAUCUAGAAACGUAGUUUCUAAGUUACUAUAAAACAAGACUAUUAAAAAAUCACCCAUACAAAAGAGA